GGUGCCAUGGUCUCGCGGUUAGGACAUGGGACUUUGAAUCCAAUGGCCCGAGUUCAAAUCUCGGUGGGACCU